rnacentral:lncRNA from 1 species
AUGAUGAGGGAUAUACCAUAUGUAAUGUGCAACAAGAAUGAUUUUUGCCUUAUGCAUAGAACUUUGAGUGAAAGGGACGAAUCAAAAAGGCCUAAGUAGUUUAAGUUCUCUGUAUGCCUGGCUAUCUCUUGACAAUUUUGGCUGGUGCAUAGAUCCUCUUGGGACCAAAUCAGAAUUAGGUUAUUCGUUCAAGCCUUUUCUUUUUGGUAGCAAUUUUUAUGGUUUCUAUGGUUUUGCCAGGUAUUUCACUUUUCUGCUGUUCUUGCUUGCAGCUAUUUUAUCACUCCCAACAUAAACAAUACCAGCAAUAAUGAUUUGAUAUGUCAAACUGCUUUGUUGUCAGACUGGUAAAUAGACAUGACAACAGGAGUUGGAAUGAGAUGCAUAUCAUGAAUGGCUUUUAAUUUGAUUAAAUGCAGAUAAUUUCUACUCAUCCAUAUAAGAUGUAUUGGUCCAUUCAUGCAUGCUUAAAAACUGUCAUUGUGUGUACAAACUUUUUAUAAUUUACCCAUAAAGAAAUGCAGUGUAUUUUCACCAUCUAAUGUUUGUGUGUGUGAUAAUAUUUUCCCCUAUGGCAGAGAGUGGGUUUCAUUUUUUUAAGAGUCUAAACUCUAAAGAGUUGGCAUGCUCUUGUUAAGGUAGAAAGUUUUAAUAUAAAAACUAAUAAUAGCACCAGUUCAAUGCUUCUAUAGUCCCCCACAUGCAAUAUAAGUUCGAUUAUGCAUGGAAGCG